UACGAAGGGGGCUAGCGUUGCUCGGAAUCACUGGGCGUAAAGGGUGCGUAGGCGGGUCUUUAAGUCAGGGGUGAAAUCCUGGAGCUCAACUCCAGAACUGCCUUUGAUACUGAAGAUCUUGAGUUCGGGAGAGGUGAGUGGAACUGCGAGUGUAGAGGUGAAAUUCGUGAGAUAUUCGCAAGAACACCAGUGGCGAAGGCGGCUCACUGGCCCGGUACUGACGCUGAGGUGCGAAAGCGUGGGGAGCAAACAGGG
rnacentral:rRNA from 1 species